CUGUAAAAAAAUUUAAAUAAUAGGAAGUCAAUCUCAUCAAGCUAUUUGAUGACUGCAUGAAUGAAAAUCCAAGGCACUCUAACUAUGGCUGGUGCAUAGAUAGCAUUAAAAAAAAAAAUGUUAUCUAGGAACAACACAAAAUAGCAGAAGACAGAGCCAAGACAGUCAGGAAAGUGAAGCAGAACUGAAGCCCAGAUUGCACUGAAUUUGGAGCCAUCAUAGCAUUGAAAUUCUUUUAUAUAAUGUUUUAAAAUUAUGUCCUAAUGUGAGCCAUUAGGACCAGAGUUUUCUGUAUCCUCUGGGGAAAUUUAUUAACUGAGUUAUUACACAUAAAUAUGAAAGUGAUGGAAUUGAUGUCCUCCAUAUCUGAAACUAUUGGGUCAUGGGCUACUUUCUGCAUGAAAAUUUAGUUUAGAGCCUGCUGAGGGACAGAGGAGAAACUCUUAUUCAUACCGAACAUUCUACUUGCACAUUCAGUCCUCAACAUUUAAACAUCCUCAACUUACAUGGCCAAUAUUUCUGAUACAACUAUAGGUUAUAGGUUAUGAGUCUGUAUAUAACUUUCAGACACUGUUACAUGUCCUAGAAUCCUGCAGGGGUUUAAAAUCUUUAUCUCAGGCUGAAACAUUAGGAAAACCAUUAUAUUUUGUUUUCUUCCAAAUCUAGCUCCCAUGAUUAAAAUUCUAAGGUCCAGAACAUGCAGGGUUUAAUUAUCUAACAACUACUGAAUCUCAUUCAAGCAAGAACAGUUUGAUCGAUGGGUCCAGCUGUGACCAUUGUGUAGCCUGAGUUUUCUGAUGGCUUUAAAAUGUUGACUAUACAGCUGUCAUCUGGAACUUGAGAAUGCACUAGCAUUAAAGUGCCAAAGCUAUUUUAUAGGCCUGUCUGCCUCCACAGAGAGAUGGCAUUCUUCAGGGAAACUUCAAUACACAAUUUGUCCCAUCUUCCAGUGAUGCUGUAAUCAGUGUUAAUGUUUUUGUUCCUCUUAAAUUCCUGUAUUAGUUUAAUUAAGCAGUUUCGAAUGAAGUUAUCUCAGGUCAGUUUUGUGCCUAGUAAAAGGACUAUUUGUGAAAGUCCCAUUUUGCUCCUGUCUACACAAUGCUGUUUAUGAUGUCUAAGACUAUGGAAUGGGAUUCCUAUUUGGUCCAUUCCCACAAUUUAUACAAUUUAUUAGGAGGCAUGGGAGGAGAGAUCUGUUCAGAAUCUUUCUCUCCAAGGCUGUCAGUUAGAAGAGAUGCAGGAAGAUCCACAAGCUGGGAAAUCCUGUUCUGUUGGAGUCAGGGAAGUGUAGAAAUGAUGAAGCAGCUGCCUCCAGGUUGGUUUUGAGUCACCUCUGGUUAAACUAAUGGUACAUUAGUGGAAGUCAUUCCUUAUUCUCCGUUGAAACCACUCACCAGAUCACUCACAGAUAUACUGAGUAUUUCUAUCGUAACCUAAGUCAGAAGAAGGAUGUGGAGUUUUCAAAUGGUCAGGUUACCAUUGUCAAAUUGAAGGGGAGAACCGUGAUCAUUUAGCUGGAAGCGUCUUUUUCGACAUUUCAGGAAGGAAAGAAAUCCUACUGCAAUAUAGCUAACGCUGACCUCAUGAGAAGUCCUGGACAAAGAAGAAAGGAGAUGGCAUAGUUGUAAAUAAAAGGUCCAAAUGGACACAUUGUUAAGUUCGACUGUUUUCUCCAGGUUUGGGAUUCUGGUGAGGAAGAGUGGGAAUGAAAUAAACUAUCAAAAACUA